rnacentral:sRNA from 13 species
UCGCAAAGCAGUAUUAUCAGUUUAUAAAUAUAAGUCGGAGACAAAAACGUUGAUAGAGAAGACGUCCUAUGAGAAGUGGACCGGUAAAAAGCCAACCGUGCCACAUUUAAGAAUAUUCGGCUCAAAGGUUAUUCAUUAACAUGCAAAUAAAUCGCAAACCAGUAUUAUCAGUUUAGCUCGCUAUCGACUUGUCACUGUUGAACGCAUUGCUUGUCACCGAUGCCUUAUGGAGGUUAUGGACGAUCAGCGGGUAUCUUCGUGCCAAUUCGCCGCAAUUAAAAGUGAUGGAGCAAACUCACUAGCAUUUUGGGAUGAUCCGAGUUCGAGUCGUCUCAAUGUUCCCUGGAUCCCACUCCUUUGUUCCUGAUUUGUCUCAGUUGUCCCCGGCGAUCUCCUCUUGGUGGCUGCGUUGGAUUAUUCCGCCUGUUGUUGCCGCCGUUUAAGGACGAUAGAGGAUCAGGCGACUCUAUCCAUCCCUACAGAAAGCUGAAUAGAUCGCCUCAGAGAUGAGCUGGCCAGGCUGGUGUCCAAACCAUUAUGAAUCGUGUCAGCAAGAGCAAGAUCUGAAUCUAUACUAUUUAGAGUUGAUGCCGUUGGUUCCAGACCCGAAGGAGGAAACCAUCUAACAAGCUGGAAGGGAUGCCCCGCUUAUUAGCUGCCAUUGCCAAGAUCUAUUGUGCCCCCUUCUGAACGCUUAUAGCUGCUCCACCAACCCCACCUGCUGCACGAAUGCUAGAAUCAUUGUUGGGAAUGCUAGAGUCAACUUGGGAACUUGCAGCAGCAGCAGCAGCAGCGUCACCAACAGCCAGAACAUCAGCCAGAACAUCAGCCAGAACACCGCCAGCAGCCGCAGGAGCAGCAGCAUCAAAAGAACCACGUCCAACAACAUGAGCAGCAGCAACACAUAAUUUGUUGUGAUUUGUUAGAAAGGUUUUUUUCUGAGUGGUUCUGGAGGGGUACAAAUGAUAUUGGUGCUUUUAUUUAUAUCGCUCAUUUAUGGCACUUCUUCAAAUGAAAAAAAGUGUAUAUAUAUUGAAAGAGCAGCACUAACUUUA